GUCUUCAUGUUCGGCCAAAAUUGAAGAUUGAAGGCAGCAUUCGAAGCCUGUGCAAGUAAUCAAUCAAGCAGAGCUUGCAAGCUAGCAAAGGAAUUGCAGGAAACAAAGCCUUAAGGUAAAAAUGUGAACUGUAUCUGUAUAUAUUCGGUCUGCAAAUUCUGAAGGAAAAGUGCAGAAAGUACCCCAAGAUGUCUUCCUCAAGCUCUCGACCAACAAGCGGGGGAAAUGGAGGCAGAGGUCUUCAAUACCAGUACAAGGUAUGUAAUUGUCGAAGGAAGGCAGAGGGGCCAUAUAGUAUUGGCAACCAAGACUGAUGUAGCAGUAGAAGAGACUGAUUUGCCUGGAGCUGAUAAAGAUACUGGUGAAGUCUCUGAAAGUCCAUUAGAUGCUAUUGAAACAAACGAAGAUUCCUCUGCUAAAUCAGAUGGAAGCUCCACUACUGCUCGAUCUAAGCGAACAAGACCCGUUAGGAAGAGUGACAUGCCUCCUAUCAGGACUGAGGAUUUGAUUCCUGGUGCAACUUAUGUAACUUGUGAUUUAUUUGUUUGGCAGCUACACGUGAAUUUUUUGGAGUAGCAUGAGAAUCAUUAAAGGUUUCUUUAUUUCUACUCUAACAAUUAGAUUGCAUAUUUCUGUUUGUUCUAAAACAUUUUUGUGGAAAUAGAGUUCGUGCUGCUUUCUGUUUCUUUUGUUUGAC
rnacentral:lncRNA from 1 species